rnacentral:rRNA from 1 species
UACGAAGGGGGCUAGCGUUGCUCGGAAUCACUGGGCGUAAAGCGCACGUAGGCGGAUUGUUAAGUCAGGGGUGAAAUCCUGGAGCUCAGCUCCAGAACUGCCUUUGAUACUGGCGAUCUCGAGUCCGGGAGAGGUGAGUGGAACUGCGAGUGUAGAGGUGAAAUUCGUAGAUAUUCGCAAGAACACCAGUGGCGAAGGCGGCUCACUGGCCCGGUACUGACGCUGAGGUGCGAAAGCGUGGGGAGCAAACAGG